CUAAGCCCUGAAUGUGUCGUUUCUUUCACUUUCUUGGUUCUAAAAAAACAGAAUAGGCAGGAUGUGGAGUGAACCAAAAACAAGCAGCAGCAGGUGCGGGUCUGUUCUCCUUAUUCGAAGAAAUCUCGAUCAAAGCCCCCCAAAACACAUAAAAUGAACUUUUUAAAUCAUCAUCUUUCACAGAUGUUAGGAUGUAAAAUAUGUAAUCAAUUAUGACUUUCCUGGAUCCCUUGAGGGUUAUGUUCACUGGAUUGGUCGAACUGGAAGGGCUGGAGCAAAAGGAACAGCCUACACUUUCUUCACAGCUUCAAAUGCCAGAUUUGCUAAGGAACUUAUCACCAUACUUGAGGAAGCUGGGCAGAAGGUCAGUCCAGAAUUGACUGCAAUGGGUCGUGGUGCACCUCCUCCUCCAGGUUAUGGAAGUUUCCGGGAACGUGGGAGGCGUUAUGGUGGUGGCCGCUCAUGGAGCUGAUUUAUGAGAUCAAUAACUGAAGGGAAAUUUAUGUCCAGAGCAUAGAUACCUGAGAUGUCAUGCCUAAACGUUGUUCCAUUUUAUCAUUUUUUUUUUUUUUAAUUU